rnacentral:rRNA from 1 species
GAGUUUGAUCGUGGCUCAGGACGAACGCUGGCGGCGUGCUUAACACAUGCAAGUCGAACGAGAAUCUACUGAAAGAGUUUUCGGACAAUGGAAGUAGAGGAAAGUGGCGGACGGGUGAGUAACGCGUGAGGAACCUGCCUUGAAGAGGGGACAACAGUUGGAAACGACUGCUAAUACCGCAUGAUGCAUAAGGGUCGCAUGAUUCUUAUGCCAAAGAUUUAUCGCUUCAAGAUGGCCUCGCGUCUGAUUAGCUAGUUGGCGGGGUAACGGCCCACCAAGGCGACGAUCAGUAGCCGGACUGAGAGGUUGAACGGCCACAUUGGGACUGAGAUACGGCCCAGACUCCUACGGGAGGCAGCAGUGGGGAAUAUUGGGCAAUGGGCGCAAGCCUGACCCAGCAACGCCGCGUGAAGGAAGAAGGCUUUCGGUAGUGUAAACUUACUAUCAGCAGGGAAGAAAAGUAGACGGUACGUCGAC